rnacentral:rRNA from 1 species
UAAAAACCCCGACUUCUCAAGGGGGGUAUUUAUUAUAUACAAAACCAAUGCCCUUCGGGGCUCUUUGGUGAUUCUUGAUAACUAUAUGAAUCGCACGGCCUUGCGCCGGCUAUGGUUCAUUCAAAUUUCUUCCCUAUCAACUUUCGAUGUUUGGGUAUUGGCCAAACAUGGUUGCAACGGGAAACGGAGGGUUAGGGCUCGACCCCGGAGAAGGAGCCUGAACAACGUCUACUGCAUGCAAGGAAGGCAGCAAGUACCCAAAUUACCCAAUCCCAACUCGGGGAGGUAGUGACAAUUAAUACGGAUUCUGGGCCCUUUCGGGCCUUGGAAUUGGAAUGAGUACAAUUUAAAUCCCUUAACGAGGAACAAUUGGAGGGGAAGUCUGGUGCCAGCAUUCGCGCUCCUUCCAGCUCCAAUAAAGUAUAUGAAAGUUGUUGUGGUUAAAAAGAUCCUUGUUGAACCUUGGGCCUGGCUGGUCGGUCCGCCUCACCGCGUGGCCUGGUCCGGCCGGGCCUUUCCCUCUGUGGAACCCCAUACCCUUCACUGGGAGUGGCGACAAAACAGGACAUUUACUUU